rnacentral:misc_RNA from 1 species
GAUGAAGAACGUAGCGAAAUGCGAUAAGUAGUGUGAAUUGCAGAAUUCAGUGAAUCAUCGAAUCUUUGAACGCACAUUGCGCCCCUUGGUAUUCCAUGGGGCAUGCCUGUUCGAGCGUCAUUUGUACCUUCAAGCUUUGCUUGGUGUUGGGUGUUUGUCUCGCCUCCGCGUGUAGACUCGCCUCAAAACAAUUGGCAGCCGGCGUAUUGAUUUCGGAGCGCAGUACAUCUCGCGCUUUGCACUCACAACGGCGACGUCCAAAAGUACAUUUUUACACUCUUGACCUCGGAUCAGGUAGGGAUACCCGCUGAACUUAAGCAUAUCAAUAAGCGGAGGA